AAAACCCAAAUAAUAAACAUGGGUUUUUACUCAAGUUUCAAGAAUAUUUGUUUGUUGGAGACAUCGUGACGUAUAAAGGGAAAGAAGCCAUAGUUUAGAAGUAGCUAUUUAAAAAUGCCUGAUCUCCUUUGUUUAAAUCUGGAUCUUGCUGCUGGAUCUGUAAACACAGGAGGAAGAAGUGUCUCCUCAGCUCUUCACCUUCCAUGAGGCCGUGUCACAGUUGGUGGAGAUGGAGGAGCAGGUCCUACUAGAGGACCACAGAGCUGUUUUCCAGGAGUCUAUCCGGUGGCUGGAAGAUCAAAAGGUGCUGCUAGAGAUGACGGAGGAGGUGGAUUUUUGACUUGGAGUCUCGCGCCACGCAGCUGGAGCAGAUCCUAGAGCGAAACAUAGAAAUCUUCACUAAGCUCCGAGAUGAAGUGAAGUCAUUCUUGUCACGGUCCCCGUGUCUCUCUGGUUGGCUCACGCUGGCUACAGGUUUUGUUGUUGUUCUUUUUUGUUUUUUGUUUUCUUUGUCUCUCCUCCUCUCUGCCUGGGUGGAGCUCGUUACGGGCUCUCGCUCUUGGCCCACGCACCUGUGUGAUUGUCUCCACCUGCUGUUGAUCUGGCUGAUUUCCCCAGCUGCUAUUUAAGGCAGUGGCACAGAGCAGCUCACCGCUGGAACGUUGAACCUCCUGAGUUCGUGCUCUCGGCAUUAUCAAAAGAAAUCCCUGUAUGUAUUUUGCUGUGAAACUAACGUUGAAUUCUGUGUGUAGAUAUCCUUCUUCUGGACCAAAUCACGGGACCUGCCUGGGUGUGGCAGCGUGUGUGGAGUUUUGGAGCGAGUGCGGCUGAAGAGGAGUGCGUGUGUGCGGAGGAGCUGUGGCGGUGACUGUGUGGAAGAGGAAGCGUGUGUGUGGAUU